rnacentral:tRNA from 1 species
GGUUAUGGCUCAGCGGUAGAUCAUUCGCCUAGCACAUGCGAGGUCCUGUGUUCAAUCCUCAGCACCA